AGCGAACGCUGGCGGCAGGCCUAACACAUGCAAGUCGAACGAACCCUUCGGGGUUAGUGGCGGACGGGUGAGUAACACGUGGGAACGUGCCUUUAGGUUCGGAAUAACUCAGGGAAACUUGUGCUAAUACCGAAUGUGCCCUUCGGGGGAAAGGUUUAUCGCCGAAAGAUCGGCCCGCGUCUGAUUAGCUAGUUGGUGAGGUAAUGGCUCACCAAGGCGACGAUCAGUAGCUGGUCUGAGAGGGUGUUCAGCCACAUUGGGACUGAGACACGGCCCAAACUCCUACGGGAGGCAGCAGUGGGGAAUAUUGGACAAUGGGCGCAAGCCUGAUCCAGCCAUGCCGCGUGAGUGAUGAAGGCCUUAGGGUUGUAAAGCUCUUUUGUCCGGGAAGAUAAUGACUGUACCGGAAGAAUAAGCCCCGGCUAACUUCGUGCCAGCCGCCGCGGUAAAAC
rnacentral:rRNA from 1 species